UCCACGCUGUAAACGAUGAGUACUAGCUGUUGGGUUCGGUGUAAAGGAUCUAGUGGCGCAGCUAACGCGUUAAGUACUCCGCCUGGGGACUACGGCCGCAAGACUAAAACUCAAAGGAAUUGACGGGGACCCGCACAAGCGGUGGAGCAUGUGGUUUAAUUCGAUGCAACACGAAGAACCUUACCUGGUCUUGACAUCCUGAGAACUUUCUAGAGAUAGAUUGGUGCCUUCGGGAACUCAGUGACAGGUGCUGCACGGCUGUCGUCAGCUCGUGUUGUGAAAUGUUGGGUUAAGUCCCGCAACGAGCGCAACCCCUAUUGAUAGUUACCAUCAUUAAGUUGGGUACUCUAUUGAGACUGCCGCUGACAAGGCG
rnacentral:rRNA from 1 species